UGGUUAUAUGGUAUUGUACAUGAAUUUGGCUUAUGACAAUAGACAAUAACAAUAGAUGCAGGAGGAGGCCAUUCGGCCCUUUGAGCCAGCACCGCCAUUCAACGUGAUCAUGGCUGAUCAUCCCCAAUCAAUACCCCCUUCCUGCCUCCUCCCCAUAUCCCCUGACUCCGCUAUGUUUAAGAGCCCUAUCUAGCUCUCUCUUGAAAGCAUCCAGAGAACCGGCCUCCACCGCCUUCUGAGGCAGAGAAUUCCACAGACUCACCACUCUCUGUGAGAAAAAGUGUUUCCUCGUCUCCGUUCUAAAUAGCUUUUACUCCUUAUUCUUAAACUGUAUUUAUGUGUAUUAUUAUCUGGAUUGGUUCGAAAGCGGGCCUCUGCUGCUAAGGCAGCAACUGUACUGCUGCGCCACCGUGCCACCCACUGUACAUUGCUCCCAGCGAGAAGACACAGGACUUCUAUGUUCUAUGUUCCUAGAGAAUUUAUUGGAGACUUUUGAAAACUUAUUUCUAUUAACAUCGAUCGGCACGGUGGCGCAGGGGUGGAGUUGCUGCUUUACAUCGCCAGAGGCCCGAAUUCGAUCCUGACUACGAGUGCUGUCUUGACGGAGUUUGUACGUUCUCCCCGUGACCUGCGUGGGUUUCCUCUGGGUGCUCUGGUUUCCUCCCACACUACAAGGAUGUGCUGGUUCGUAGGUCAAUUUUAGCUUGAGUGUUAUAAAAUGAAAAUUGUCCUUAGUGUGUUGGAUAGCGUCAGUGUGCGGGGAUCGCUGGACCGUACGGACUCGCUGGGCCGAAGGGUCAGUUUCCGCGCUGUAUCUCUAAACUACGCUGAACAUCACCUUUCUAUAUACUCAAACAAUUGUACAGUCCAGCUAUUGCCUUCAUCACUAACAAACUUGGAGCGCAGGUGGAUGAGGGGUGAUCUUAUAGAGGUGUACAAAAUCAUGAGAGGAACAGAUUGGGUAGAUGCACAGAAUCUCUUGCCCAAAGUAGGGGAAUCGAGGACCAGAGGACCUUAGGUUUAAGGUGAAGGGGAAAAGAUCUAAUAGGAAUAACUAACCUGAUCUACUGGCGGCCCAGCACCAACUCAUCCUCCCAUUCCAAAUCCGACCUUUCUGUCCUGGGCAUCCUCCAUGGCCAGAGUGAGUCCCACCAUAAAUUGGAGGAGCAGCACCUCAUAUUUCGCUUGGGUAGUUUACACCCCAGCGGUAUGAACAUUGACUUCUCCAAUUUCAGGUAGUCUAUUUCCUUCGCUCCAUAGAAGCUGCCUCACCCGCUGAGUUUCUCCAGCAUUUAAUGUCUACCAUGGGAAUCCAAGAGGUAACUUGUUCACACCAAGUGUGGUGGGUGUAUGGACAAAGCUGCCAGAGGAGGUAGUUGAGGCUGGGACUAUCCCAUUGUUUAAGAAACAAUUAGACAGGUACAUGGACAGGACAGGUUUGGAGGGAUAUGGGCCAAGCGCAGGCAAGUGGAACUAGUGUAGCUGGGACAUUGUUGGCCGGUUGGGGCAAGUUGGGCCAAAGGACCUGUUUCCACACUGUAUCCCUCUAUGACUCUAUGAAGAAUGUUCCCCAAAGUCUUUAAAUAUCAGGUUCUUUCGCCUGAAGGCAAGAAUCAGUGGAUAUAUUUAAUCGAGAGGAAAAACAGGUGUGGCUAAUAAUGGUAAUUAGUUGAAUGGCACAGUAAUUUAGUCACUGACCCAUAGUUAUAUAGCAGGGCAAGUGUAUAAAUAAUUCAUAAUUUGAAAGGCUAUUGCAUGAAUAUGUUAAUUGGGCUGACAAGGAUGCAUUGAGCUAUGCUUGAUGUUAGUGUUAAUACACCUUCACAUAUUUGUAUAUACAUUUCUCAGGUUAACACAGCUGAUUUCCAAAUCCAAGUAUCGAUCAGGCAAUCUUCCCUCAAUAAUUAUAGAUUCCACUUUGGGAAAAUUAAAUUCGAAUUAAGAUGGUGUCUCGUUCAAAAAUUUGUGGUAAUUUUGUUUCUGCUUAUUUACACAGAGCGGCGAAACGUCAGCUGAUAAACUUCAACCCAGAGUAUAAUCUCCCGACUCUACAGAAUUCAGAGGUGGUACAGGGGUGCAAAGGUGGAGUUGCUGCAUUACAGCGCCAAAGACCCGGGUUCGAUCCUGACUACGGGCGCUGUCUGUACGGAGUUUGCACGUCCUCCCCGUGACCUGCGUGGGUUUUCUCCGGGUGCUCCAGUUUCCCCCCGCACUCCAAAGACGUGCAGGAGUAAUUCUCUCAUUUGACCUUCAUUGAAAGACAGCACGGAAACAGGCAACAGGCCCUUCGGCCCACCGGCUCCACGCCAAACAUCGAUCACCCGUUCACACUAACGUUACCCCACUGUCACAGCCACUCCCUACACGUUGGGGGCAAGCUACAGAGAGGGCCAAUUAACCUAAAAAUCCACACGUCUCCGGGAUGUUGGAGGAAACCGGAGCACCACGGGACCAGAGAGAGAGAGCAUGCAAACUCCACACAGACAGCAUCCAAGGAAGGAGCAGCGGAUGCAGGUUUAAACCGAAGAUAGACACAAAAAGCUGGAGGAACUCAGCGGGACAGGCAGCAUCUCCGGAGAAAACGAAGAGGUGACGUUUCGGGUUGAGACCCUUCUUCAGACUGAGAGUCGGGGGAAAGGGAAACUAGAGGUUCAGAACCAAUCAGAGCCAUCGCCGAUGACCAAGGAAAGGUGGAGCCCACAACGGUACAUUGUUGGCUGUGGAAGAGGCGAUGAUUGUUGGAAUGAACGAAAGUCAAGUCAAGUCAAGAGAGUUUAUUGUCAUGUGUCCCAGAUAGGACAAUGCAAUUCUUGCUUUGCUUCAGCACAACAGAACAUAGUAGGCAUUGACUACAAAACAGAUCAGUGUGUCCAUAUACCGUAAUAUAAAUAUAUACACACAUGAAUAUAUAAACUGAUAAAGUGCAAAUAACAGAUAAUGGGUUAUUAAUGUUCAGAGUUUUGUCCGAGCCAAGUUUAAUAGCCUGAUGGCUGUGGGGAAGUAGCUAUUCCUGAACCUGGACGUUGCAGUCUUCAGGCUCCUGUACCUCCUGCCUGAAGGUAGCGGGGAGAUGAGUGUGUGGCCAGGAUGGUGUGGGUCCUUGCUAAUGCUGCCAGCCUUUUUGAGGCAGCGACUGCGAUAGAUCCCCUAUCCCGAAAGAGGUGAUAAUGCUUUUCUUGCUAUUAUGUACAGGGUUUGAUGAGAAGAUGUAACUGCUAAAUAAAGAGAAUUUUCAUUUGACUGGAUGGUCGAAUUAGCCAUCCAACCAUCCAGUCGGGUAUCCUGAGAAAUAUUGAAAUAAAGAUUCCCUUUCUCAGCACCAUCCAUAUACCUUUACCCCUCUAAUUAAGAUUAGGUGUUGGCAGACGUAAUCAGAGUUCAAAAAUGUGGACACUCUUGAACAGGUAUAUGGAUCGGAAAGGUUUAACAGGGAUAUGGGCCAAACAUGGACAGGGGGGGGACAAGUGUAGAAGGGGCAUCUUGGUCAACAUGGCCAAAAUGGGCCAAAGGGCCUGUUUCCAUACUGCAUGACUCUCCUAUGAAUCUCCAGGCCAAACCUGCAGAUAGACAAUAGACAAUAGGUGCAGGAGUAGGCUAUUCGGCCCUUCGAGCCAGCACCGUCAUUCAAUGUAAUCAUGGCUGAUCAUC